rnacentral:rRNA from 1 species
AACGCGAAGAACCUUACCUAGGCUUGACAGUUGGGGAAAUCUGGCAGAGAUGUCAGGUCCGCAAGGGCCCCAAAACAGGUGGUGCAUGGCUGUCGUCAGCUCGUGUCGUGAGAUGUUGGGUUAAGUCCCGCAACGAGCGCAACCCUCGUCGUAUGUUGCCAGCGAGUAAUGUCGGGGACUCAUACGAGACCGCCGGGGUCAACUCGGAGGAAGGUGGGGAUGACGUCAAGUCAUCAUGCCCCUUAUGUCUAGGGCUGCACGCAUGCUACAAUGGCUGGUACAAAGGGCUGCGAUACCGCGAGGUGGAGCGAGUCCCAUAAAGCCAGUCUCAGUUCGGAUUGGGGUCUGCAACUCGACCCCAUGAAGUCGGAGUCGCUAGUAAUCGCAGAUCAGCAACGCUGCGGUGAAUACGUUCCCGGGUCUUGUACACACCG